rnacentral:rRNA from 1 species
GAUGAACGCUAGCGGGAGGCUUAACACAUGCAAGUCGAGGGGCAGCAUAGGGUAGCAAUACUCUGAUGGCGACCGGCAAACGGGUGAGUAACGCGUAUGCAACCUACCCUGUACAGGGGGAUAACCCGGAGAAAUUCGGACUAAUAUCCCGUAAUAAUAUCCGGAGGCAUCUUUGGAUAUUUAAAGUUUCGACGGUACGGGAUGGGCAUGCGUAACAUUAGCUGGUUGGUAAGGUAACGGCUUACCAAGGCUAUGAUGUUUAGGGGUCCUGAGAGGGUGGUCCCCCACACUGGUACUGAGACACGGACCAGACUCCUACGGGAGGCAGCAGUGAGGAAUAUUGGUCAAUGGGCGCAAGCCUGAACCAGCCAUCCCGCGUGCAGGAAGACGGCCCUAUGGGUUGUAAACUGCUUUUCCAGGGAGAGAAACUUACGCACGUGUUGCGUGACCGACGGUACCCUGGGAAUAAGCAUCGGCUAACUCCGUG